GCCUCUGUGGUGUAGUGGUAGAGCACGCGUCCCCGGAUAGGAUUGAACGCGGGUUUAAUUCCUGUUUGAGGUC